UGGGGAAUAUUGGACAAUGGGGGCAACCCUGAUCCAGCGAUGCCGCGUGUGCGAAGAAGGCCUGCGGGUUGUAAAGCACUUUGGUUGGGGAAGAAGGUUGGUAGAUGAAUAGUCUACUGAAUUGACGUUACCCAAAGAACAAGCACCGGCUAACUCUGUGCCAGCAGCCGCGGUAAUACAGAGGGUGCGAGCGUUAAUCGGAAUUACUGGGCGUAAAGGGUGCGUAGGCGGUUAUAUAAGUUAGAUGUGAAAUCCCCGGGCUUAACCUGGGAAUUGCAUUUAAGACUGUAAGACUAGAGUAGAGUAGAGGGAAGUGGAAUUUCCGGUGUAGCGGUGAAAUGCGUAGAUAUCGGAAAGAACAUCAGUGGCGAAGGCGGCUUCCUGGACUCAUACUGACGCUGAGGCACGAAAGCAUGGGGAGCAAACAGG
rnacentral:rRNA from 1 species